CAUUUGCAUAGACAGGCCCUCCCUCUCUCAGAGGAUGAAGAGGGGAAGGGAGAGGUGAGGGGAGGCUCUUCUCAGCUGUGGGGCACAGAAGUCAGGACCAGGGAUGACCUGCACCAUGUCCUGGUCCCCUCUCCUCCUCACCCUCCUCGCUCACUGCACAGGUUCCUGGGCCCAGUCUGGGCUGACUCAGCCACCCUCCAUGACUGGGUCCCUGGGCCAGAGGGUCACCAUCUCCUGCACUGGAAGCAGCUCCAACAUCGGUGGUAAUUAUGUGAGCUGGCACCAACAGCUCCCAGGAACCGCCCCCAGAACUGUCAUCUAUGGUAAUAACAACCGACCAUCGGGGAUCCCGGAUCGAUUUUCUGGCUCCCAGUCUGGCAGCUCAGCCACCCUGACCAUCACUGGGCUCCAGGCUGAGGAUGAGGCGGAUUAUUACUGUGCAUCGUGGGAUGACAAUCUCAGUGCUCACACAGAGCUCCAGGCCUGAGGGGAAUUGAGACAAAAACCCACUUGCUCAUCUGUAGAGGGGGACACACACCAGCAGUUCCUGCUCAGCUUAGCCUGUGAUGCUCCUUAUUCCUCUGCUGACUCCUUGUGCCCGGGUCCCUCAGGGGCACCACCGUGGAUUGAGGAUCUCCUGUCACUUCUGUCCUCAGAGUCACUCAGAGCAGCUCAUUCCUUGACAAAGAGUUUCCAUGUGAACAGAAAUUUCCUGUUUCAUCAUCUGAGGUAUUUUAUUUCUAAGCUGGAUCAUACUAAUUUUUUUCCUUCUCAUUUUAAAUAUAUCAAACAAUUUUAUUUUCUCUCUGAACAUAUCAUGAGACCUCAUCAAUACCCAUGUGGUGCUUGAAGAAUAAUUCAGUCCUGUGGCUUUAUUACUCUCAACUUGGUUUUAAGCGGUGCUGCUGCCUAGUUUUCCUGAUUCUUUGAGAAAUAGAUGCUCACCUAGAAAUGUAAAAGUAUUUAAAAAAUCCCCAAACUUGUGUCUGCAGAAAAAACCUGCAUGUGAAUGUUUAUACCAGUUUCAGUCCUAAUUACUAAAAACUGAACGUGAGCAGAAAUCCGUUCACAGAUAUUUACUCCAGGUUUAUAUCUAAUCAAUGAAACAUGGAACCAAACUCAGAUGCCAGCAAAUAGGCAGGACAUUUAUGAAAUGGGACAGAAUAUAUAGUGUGGUUAAAGUUACAUCACAUAUGGGAAGCAGCGACCACUCUGGAGAGAGUGCAAACAUCUGCAGUUUCUGAGAGAAUAAAAGAGACAACAGGGUUGAUCAUGUGAACAAAGGAAAAUGUUUCUGAGCAACAGAAUGAUUUGAUAAAACGCUGUCAUGGCACUGAAAUGACACUAUGACACUGUCAGUCACUGAACACUGUACAGCCACAUGACAGAACCCAAAGGGUGCAGAUACAACUCGUUUGAGAGGUUUGGGGCCCUGAAUGGCAUGCGGACUGUGACAAACCCACAUACCUACCUCACAGACAUGUGAGCUGAGCUCAGCACAGGGCUCGGGGAUGCUGUUGAGCUGAGUGAUGGCGAAAAUGAACGGAGCCUGUCAGUGUAAAGUCAGAAGAGACUGCGUGUGAGCUCUGUGCUCUAGAAGGUAAGCUCGUGUCCUGUGUGGAACGGGCGGAUUAUGUUAACGGGGCUGCACUGCAUUGUGUAAUCGAACAAUCAUGUCAGUGGUUUGGUGGUGGUGGAGCCAGAUUUCUCACGUUAGGAAUGGAAGCUCACAGACAUAACCAGGGAAGGAGGCUUGAGUGAAGCGUGUGGUCAUGGGUUAGAGCUGGAGCUG